ensembl:lncRNA
AGCAAGUAAAAGAAAAUGUUUACAGGUUCAUCUUUUUUUUUCUCUACACCAUAGUUGGUAUAAGGAGUUAGUAUUUUAGUGUCUAAAAUGAUUUGAUUAGAAAUAUUGCAAAAACCUAUGGUUCUGUAAUUCUACAGUGAUGCCUGAUAUUUCUUACUCCAGUCAUUUUCCCUAGAGAUAAAUAAUGAGGACUUAUAUUCUCCUGCCAACUUUUAAAACUACAGGAUGUUUUGUAGAAGACAACGUGCAGGAUCCUGAGCAAUUUGCCUCUGAAGUCAGGGAGCAUCUUGCUGACUCAUAUUUGCUUCAGCUGUCAGUGGAGUGUUCCUUCCUGUUUCCAGUGGCUAGCAAGCACCAAACCCACAGAUCUUUCUCUUCUGCUCCAGUCACCAGAGAAGCAGAUUGUUUCACAUGGACUGUGGUUUAUCAUCAUUUCAGCAAGUACUCAGUCUGUAAGACCCAUCGCCAAUAUUUUCCCCCACACUUCUUUUUAUCAGGUAAGAUAACUGCUACGGAG